UGCCAGACAUGAGUAUGCAAUGUUCCAGCUCAGAGGCACAUCCAAAGUCUUUCAGCAAACUACCCUGCUGAAGACCCACGGAAACGCCUUGGGAUGCGGCCAGCAUGGGGUGUGACGGCAGGGCAUGGGAGAUUCCAGGAAGAGCCCAUCUCACAUGAAAUGUAUGUGGAUUCCCACAGAUACAGCCACAUCUAAAUGCACAUGGAUCUCUGGAUCAGCGCAUAUGAAGACAGCCACUCCUCAAAGUAAACAAAAUGCAGAGGUUUCUUCCCUGAGUCUAUCUUUGUGGUUGAGUUACCACAAUCACUUGUUAAACAUCUGCAAUUUUGUCUCUCUGCUGGGAUGCAUACUUUUGCUGAUGUCACAUCCUGAUAACUUCAGUGCAUUUGUGGUAUCUUUAUAAGUGAUUCUUUCUGCCUCUCUCCCAAGGAGUUACCGGGGGCCCAAAAUCUGGCUUGCGCCUGUGUCCCAUUUGCUAGAUGGCCACAGUAUAUAAAAAUAUUGAAGCUAAA